CUUGUGCAGUGCCAGCCUUGUCCUGUAGACAAAAUGGUGAAGGUUGGUGAGAACAGAUUUGGCCGUAUUGGACGCCUGGUUACCAGGACUGCCUUCUGCUCUGCACUUGGCAAAGUGGAGAUUGUUGUCAUCAACGACCCCUUCAUUGACCUCAACUACAUGGUCUACAUGAUCCAGUUUGACUCCACACACAGCAAAUUCAACAGCACAGUCAAGGCUGAGAAUAGGAAGCUUGUCAUCAAGGGGAAGCCCAUCACUAUCUUCCAGGAGCAAGAUUGCGCUAACAUCAAAUGGGGUGAUGCUGGUGCUGAAUAUGUCUUAGUGUCUACUGGCGUCUUCACCACCAUGGAGAAGUCUGGGGCCCACUUGAAGGGUAGGGCCAAAAGGGUUAUCAUCUCCACCCCUUCUGCUGGUGCCCACAUGUCUGUGCUGGGUGUGAACCAUGAUGCCAAAGUUGUCAUGUAUGACCUUGGCCAGGGAGCUUAA